ACCAUCCCUCACAAUAUGGUCAAGCUGGCAACCGUCUGAGGACUGACCGGUGGUUUCGGUAGAACCGGAGGAGCCCUCCUCGCGAUGAGGGGGUACCUCCAUGUGUUUCAGUCCAGCGUACCUCUGACAGAUAGGACGUCAUGCAGGUCUCAAUGGGAUUGUACCAUCGACAGCUUCAGCCUGUAGAUUGGGGUCUCGGAGAUAACGUUAGCCCCUAAAGAAAAGUUGAUAACGGAAACAGUCCAGGGACGGGACGAACCGUGACCAAGAGUUAGAGCGGUUGCGGGCUGAUCUGGAGGCUGAGCAGAGCCGCAGACAGCGGGCCCUGUGGCGUUUCUCCGGGGAGCUCCGGCAUCUUCGGGAGGAGGCCGAGUCUGAGCUUCAAAGGGCCUGCAAGGAGUUGACCUCCAGGCUGGCUUGUCAGAAAGCCACCCUCAGUCCUCCUAACUCCAAGCCCCCUGCCCGACUCAUCCAGAACGCCCCCAUCCAACGGGAUAACGUCGGAGGUCAUGGAAAAGAUGUGCCAAGCAGGAAGGCCGGGUCCUGUCGAGGCACUGGUAAAACCGAUCACAAGCUGCAGCAGCUCCUGCUGAGGUUUUACCAGGAGGUCCACGCGGAGGAGGAAGUCUACGACCCGCGCGACAGGGAGGAGUUUGAGCUGGAUAAGGCCUCCUUCCUCUGCCGUCUGCUAGAGAGCCAGGGCAGACCAUCCAAGGGGAGGCAGAGCCACAGAUCUGAAGCGACUUUAAGAGCUCCGAGUCAGGGGCUCAGAGGCGACCACAGCUGUCCUCCUAAGCCUCCUCAGAACUCGCCCAGGUCCUCCACACACAGUCCCCAGAGCGCUACCCCACCAGCACCCCAGAAGAAGCCCAGGCCGGGGCGGCCGGACGUGCCUUCAGGGUGGGACGCCUUUACGGCCCACCAUGUGUCCACUGUGGUGUUAGGGGACACCUGUUGUAGCGGAGCCCCGGACCCCGACCCCCCAGACUGCUCUCCUCAUGCGGGUGGUAACCCCCAGCCUUCAAACCACUCCACUGGAUCAGAGGAGGAGUCACCUCCAUACAAAUGGUCAGAGAGAGCCAUGGACCAGGUAAGAGUAUAAUACGCAUCACCCUAGGCUAACAUACCCUGUCUAUACAUAUAUGUGCAUAACGAUUGUGAUAAGCUGCCAACUAGGAUGCAAUUCGGCGUUCUUAGAUUGUCUUUGUACUCGAAACAUGAGAUCAAAAUAUUUUUGACACCUUGAUAUGUGCUCGGUAAUUAUGACACUUCCUUAAUAACCCAUAUUCAAUGAAUCUACUUUGACAAGCUGCUGCCGCUUGUCUGUGCACAAAGUGAAUACAGGUGGUAAGGCUGGACGCCCAGUCAUUCUGAUUUGGCACAUCAUUUUGUGUCACAAUUGUAUUGCAACGGUCUGGAGAUGCAACAGAGCCACUGAACGGAGAAUGAAAUUCUGUCUGGCUGUAAUGAUGCAGCUACGCUCAGGCUUUGAGCUUAAUCUAACUGGUUUCACACCCCUCCAAAGAGAGAUGAAACCGCUUCAUCCUCUAGGGAGCUAAUUUAUAAUGACUCAGGCAACAAUGGCAGCAGUAACCUGUCAAAAGGAAAGCAAUGUUGUUGGUGAUAUUGGGAAGGCUUUUAUGGUGAUUUCUUAUAUUAUUCGGAUUAUUUUAAUAAUGUCUUAUAUUUUUUGGCAUGAGGGAUAGCAAAUGUGGGUUAGUGUUUUGGCUUGUCUUCCUAUCUGGAUCAAGAUUACAUGGCGAGGAAAUUGAAUAAUGAAUCAAAGGUUGAACUGGGCCUAGCUCUCAGAGCUCAGCCCCAUGAGUGUUUGUUAUGCACACAUGCUAGAUGCCACUCAGUGUCGAGGCCAAACGACUGUCCGGUCUGGGUUUGGAAUGAAGGUUGAUUUCUACAGGAUUUCUUUUUUGUGAUGUCAUCUCAUCAGCCCCUAGUUUUUAUUGUAUGUAUAGAAUAUAGCAUUUAUACUAUAGGAAAAUGUAUGGUUAAUUUACAAAUUAAUAAAGGUUACGAUAUUACACGGAAAUGGAUUGAAUAGAAGAAGUCUUCGCACCUUCGGUUAGGUUAAUUCAUUGACUAUUUUUUUUUUAAUAAUUAUUUUAUGUAACUGUGACAUUAGAUUAACUUUUGGGUGUAUAUUUUUUCCAAUAAUUUUUUGACAAAUUCCAAAUGCAUUGUACUUUUUUGCUCUUUGUGACGCUCAAUGUUUGCAUAAAAAGAACAUCAGCUCCUUGAUAGCAGAAAAACCCUUUGGGAUGUCGUAAAUUAUGCAGGUCUAUUUCUGAAUGCUGUGCCACGCCUAGCCCCCCUAGAGAUUUUGGGGGAAUAGAAUUUCUCGUCAACUGUUGACAGGAAUCGCUUUGAGCGUGUUCCAUAACCGCGUGACAGGCAGACGGCGAGAUUCUGUCAGAAUUACUUUCAACCUGACAGCAUGUCACAACCGCUGAGCGGAUUGGGGCUUGGAUAAAGGUAGAAGGAUUUAAUAUGACGAUGCCAUCAUGCAUAUACUCUCACAAGCCCCUCACUGCCACUUUGCACUGGCUGAUAACAGGCCCCCAUUAUGUGUUUGUUUUUUGAAGAGCAUACGCACAUGUGCAGCGCAUGUAUGAUAUGACGGUGUUGCAUCUUGUCUAUGCUAUGAGCAGCUCUCCUAGCCGAGCUAUGAACCGGAGAUGAAACUAGGGUCAUGGGGAGCAUGUAGGGAGCGUGUUCAAUCAAUUCCCAACUCUAAUGUUCCAAGAGCACUCUGUUAUUAAGGUCCAAGAGGAUAGAGGUAUAGAAAUAGGAAAAUGUCUGAACAGCAACUUGCUCAUAGGGAGAGAUUGGUAAUGCCUCUAGAUGUUUUUCCUGUGGAGAAACUGCAAUUCAGUUGAAAAUGGGAUUAUUAGCUGUUGUUAUUUUUAACCACACAAUUUAGAAUCUUGGUCAUCACUAGACUCUUCAUCUGUGGCUUUAAGCACACACACACACACACACACACACACACACACACACACACACACACACACACACACACACACACACACACACACACACACACACACACACACACACACACACACACACACACACACAGAGCCUGUCCGCAGCAGUCAUUCCCUAAGGGCUCCAACAGUCUAUCACUGCUAGCUGAAUUGAGAGGCAAUUAGGAGGUUUAUCUUAAAUGACUUUAAAUUGAUUUGAUAAAAUUGGAGUGGAGGGUCAGUAAAACUUGAGUGACCGUUGUGUUGCAUAAUGCAUUAUUUUUGUAUCUAAUAUCUAGAUUAUAUCGCAUUUCUUAGAUAAA
ensembl:lncRNA